UACGAAGGGGGCGAGCGUUGUUCGGAAUUACUGGGCGUAAAGGGCGCGUAGGCGGCCCCUUUUGUCGCGUGUGAAAGCCCCGGGCUCAACCUGGGAACGGCGCGCGAAACGGGGGGGCUUGAGUUCGGGAGAGGAGAGUGGAAUUCCCAGUGUAGAGGUGAAAUUCGUAGAUAUUGGGAAGAACACCGGGUGGGCGAAAGGCGGCUCUCUGGACCGAGACUGACGCUGAGGCGCGAAAGCGUGGGGAGAAACAG
rnacentral:rRNA from 1 species